UACGGAGGGUGCAAGCAUUAGUCGGAUUUAUUGGGCGUAACGGGCGCGUAGGCGGACGGAUAAGUCAGAUGUGAAAUCCCGGGGCUCAACCUCGGAACAGCAUUUGAAACUAUCCAUCUAGAGGGUAGGCGGAGAAAACGGAAUUCCACAAGUAGCGGUGAAAUGCGUAGAUAUGUGGAAGAACACCGGUGGCGAAGGCGGUUUUCUAGCUUAUUCCUGACGCUGAGGCGCGAAAGCAAGGGGAUCAAACAGG
rnacentral:rRNA from 1 species